UACCGAAAACUUACCAGGGAUUGACAUGACGGUAGUAGUGAAGCGAAAGCGGAACGACCCUUCGGGGAGCCGUCACAGGUGAUGCAUGGCUGUCGUCAGCUCGUGCCGUGAGGUGUUUGGUUAAGUCCACUAACGAGCGCAACCCCUAGUGCCAGUUACAAGUGUCUGGCGCGACUGCCGGUAUUAAGCCGGAGGAAGGUGGGGAUGACGUCAAGUCAGCAUGUCCUUUAUACCCUGGGCGACACACACGCUACAAUGGCCAGCACAAUGGGUCGCCAAGCCGUGAGGCGGAGCCAAUCCUAAAAAGCUGGUCUCAGUUCGGAUUGCAGGCUGCAACCCGCCUGCAUGAAGUCGGAGUUGCUAGUAACCGCAGGACAGCUAUACUGCGGUGAAUACGUUCCCGGGUCUUGUACACACCG
rnacentral:rRNA from 1 species